UCUCCUUGGCCUGUCUGCAGCAUUCAUUCCUUCUGGGUACGGAACAGGACCCUCUGGAAUGGGGGCUGUGGCCUACAACAGUUAAACAAGUGAACUAAAGGGCUCCCAAGAUCUCUCCUGCAGCAUUUUCCUUGAGAAGGAGGAAGGUUUGCAUCUCUGUAAG